rnacentral:rRNA from 1 species
UACGAAGGGGGCUAGCGUUGCUCGGAAUGACUGGGCGUAAAGGGCGCGUAGGCGGAUGGCUUUGUCGGGCGUGAAAUUCCAGGGCUUAACCUUGGGGCUGCGUUCGAGACGGGUUGUCUUGAGUGGGGAAGAGGGUCGUGGAAUUCCCAGUGUAGAGGUGAAAUUCGUAGAUAUUGGGAAGAACACCGGUGGCGAAGGCGGCGACCUGGUCCGAUACUGACGCUGAGGCACGAAAGCGUGGGGAGCAAACAGG